AUAAGAACACUUUAUUUAAUUUGUUGCAUAAAUAGUGUAUGUAGAUGGUGGAGUAGGUGUUAAGAGAAAUAGGGACAUGGAAAUGCUGAGGGUGGGGAGGAAUGCAGUUUACAGAGCUAAACAAAACUGCAAUCUAGCCAGGAUAUAUAGAGUUUAGUAACUCAGACUGACAGGAUUUUUUUUUUUUUUUAUUGAUUUCAGGUAGUCAUUUUCGAACAACAAUGCCAUGAUUUCUGCCUCCGUUCAACUAAAUUACCAUGUUCAUCUAGUUCUGACCUGAAGGGAAGUAAGCCUUCUACUAAGCAUGGUGGCAGGCACGGUCAGUCCAGAGGUUUGAGCAGAGCACAAGAGGAUGACGACACUUGAAUUACCAUGUGGAAGAUCAUAUGCUGAACAUCUGAAUCAGACUGUGACUUAGAAAAAAAAAACUUCAUUGUAAUAAACCAUUAAAAUUUGGGGGAUCAUUUGUUAUGUUAGCUAGCUUUAGUUACCUUAUCAAGCCCAGGCUCCAAAGAGCAAAGAGAAAAA
rnacentral:lncRNA from 1 species